ensembl:lncRNA
UUCCAAAGACUUCAGAGCGCUUUGAAUGGGAACGAGGCUGGAAAGCCGGAGGGAUGUGGAUGGUCGGGGUAUGAGGGAGACGGCGAUGUCCGCUACAAAGAGCAUCGAAUCCGGAAAAGGAGACCUUGGGAAUCAGUGAUAAAACACAGAAAUGAACUGACCUCAGAUCAGGUGAGUGAUUUGGUAUUGUCAUGCACUCUCAAUAUGACCUUGACUUUCAUUUUGCAUGAGGUUGCAUGUUUAAGAGACAAAUAUGUAACAGGUUCUCUCACCGUUGCUGCAUAUAUGACUUGUAGGAGUAGGUUUGUUUAUAUCCUUUACGGGGAAGUAGCAUAUAUAAGCAUAUGAAUCCCUCAUGAAUAAUAACCAUAUAUUAUUU